GGUUGAUAUAUACCAGCACUAGUACUGGAGCAGGGGACGGUGCCCUCGUGUAUAAGUAGUUUUUGUAAGGCUCCUCCGGAGGAUCUGGAGUCGACUUCUCUGUUUUUCACUAUGGUUAAUAAACGUUUGGUAGGCUUCAUAGAGCUUUGCCAUGUGCUGCUCUCGCGUGGGGAUUCAAACUCGCACCUUGGACCAAGGGCUUUGAUCAUGUGCUGCUCUCGCGUAGGCAUUGGCCAACUCCACAUGAUGAACCGGAUGUGUAUCCAGUACCACCAUAUUGUGUGCACAUGUAGAGUUGGUGACGCUGUGCCUUCGAUUUCUUUGAUGGGGCUCCGGGUGAUCGUUACCGUCCUGUAAAAAACAUGAUCAUAUGGGGUAGCCUUAUUUAUGAUUUUAUCAUUAGUAUAUAUAUAUAUGUAUGUUUGGUCUUAAAGAUAUCAAGCCGGGCUGUUUGCAUAUAAAUGUAAAAAAAUAACAAUUUUAACAUGUUUCACUGACGGGAUUUUUUUAGACAACACUGAGGUCCUGUAUUUGUAUUGACAUGUGGCAAUUUCUUUAGUUUCAAACUAAUCAGAAUAAGGUCAAUGCAAGCGAUGCUGCUAGGCCCUAGAAUGCAUAACUGGGCCAAGAAGGUUGGGCAUUCAUGGAGGCUGACUCGACUCUGCUGCAGUACUAGCCCAAUACAAGAUGUAGGGCCUUCCCACUACUAGCUAGGCCCACGAACUUAAGCCUCUUCUUGCUCUCCAGUUCGCAAACCCUUCUCUCGCCGUCUUCUCCAAACACUCCAACCACGACUACGCCUGCGGCGGCGGCGACGGCAAAUUCCCACAGCGAUGGCCACCAAAUCGCAGAAGAACCAGAAGCCUACUGCCCCCAAGCCGUCUAUCGACUCCAAGUCCCCAUCCUCCGAGAAGAAACCCAAGCCCCGGAAGUCCGCCGAGGAGCAGCCGGAGCAGGCGGCAGCUGUCAAGAAGCCGAAGAAGCAGAAGGUGAGGGACGAGAUCGACGAGAUCUUCAGCGCCGCGAAGGCGGGGAAGAAGCGGAAGCCGCCGCAGCGGGAGGGGGCUGAGGCCCAUGGGGACAGGAGGAAGAAGCCCAAGGAGAGGGCCGAGGGGGGAAGCAGCAGCAAGAAGAAGAAGAGCAACAAGGCGUCGGGGAGUAAGGGCAAGGGUCGGGUGGCUGGCGACGACGACGAUGACGAGGAGGAGUUCGAGGAGAAGCGGCCGCGUCGGCGCACUGCGGACGGGCUCGUCAUAUACUCGGCCGAUGAGCUCGGGUUCGGCAAGGCCGACGCCGGUGGCACCCCGCUGUGCCCCUUCGACUGCGACUGCUGCUUCUGAGUUCUGAGUUUGUCGGCUGCCUCUUCUCUGUCGUAGGUGAUUUGCCGAGGCUAACUCAGUGUAGUUGUAUUCCUUGAUGCAUUCACUGGCUGAGUGUGCUUACAUUUGUGCUCUGAUGAAAUGAAAAUUUUGUUCCUGUCCUAUUGCAUGAUCCUGGCUUAAAGGAAUAUUUAGAGGCUCGAUCGAGAUAUUCCACUCGAGAUGUUCAAGGUACUCUGAAUUUCAGAGUCACUGCUUACUGACUGGAGCAUUAAGAAUUUACAUUAACACAUCUAGAGUAUGUUGAUCAGCAGUAGCUAAAUUUCUAGAGUUCGAAUGCAUCAAAUUUUGCCAAGUAUGUAGUAUCAUGAUGGUGAUCCAGGAAAUAGAAUAAAAAGAUGCCUUGUGUAUGUUUUUUGUGGGCAUUGUAUUUGACAACCUCGAUCUUUUGCCCAGUGUGGUAAGAGCAACUCCACCAUGUAUCUAGGCUAUUUUUACAUUUUUAAUGUAAAAAUUAAAGUUCAACAGGUGUGCUAUCUGGUCUGCUAAAAUAGCAAGUUUGCUAUCUCUAAACUUUCGCAUGUCACAUGUAGCAUGUCGUCCUCACUAGCUAUCAUAUACAAAUGUUGUUGUGAAACCCUAUGCUUUGAGUGAGUUUUUUAUUCUACACAAUGGCUAAAUCUUGUAGUUUAGAAUAUAAUUUUAGGAGAUGCUCUAAAUGAGGUUAUUUUUGUUAUUGUUUGGCUGAAGAACAUGUUCUAAUGCGAGGAGCAACUCAGAAAUCUACCUCAACUUCAAAUGAUCUCGUGCGAUGCUGUUUCAAAAUCUGUGACUGCUGAUUGAUUGCCUUGAGGAAGAAUAUAUAUCCGGGCCCAGGCC
rnacentral:lncRNA from 1 species